rnacentral:rRNA from 1 species
ACUCCUACGGGUGGCUGCAGUGGGGAAUAUUGCACAAUGGGCGCAAGCCUGAUGCAGCGACGCCGCGUGGGGGAUGACGGCCUUCGGGUUGUAAACUCCUUUCGCCAGGGACGAAGCGUUUUGUGACGGUACCUGGAGAAGAAGCACCGGCUAACUACGUGCCAGCAGCCGCGGUAAUACGUAGGGUGCAAGCGUUGUCCGGAAUUACUGGGCGUAAAGAGCUCGUAGGUGGUUUGUCACGUCGUCUGUGAAAUUCCACAGCUUAACUGUGGGCGUGCAGGCGAUACGGGCUGACUUGAGUACUGUAGGGGUAACUGGAAUUCCUGGUGUAGCGGUGAAAUGCGCAGAUAUCAGGAGGAACACCGAUGGCGAAGGCAGGUUACUGGGCAGUUACUGACGCUGAGGAGCGAAAGCAUGGGUAGCAAACAGGAUUAGAUACCCUGGUAGUCCAUGCCGUAAACGGUGGGCGCUAGGUGUAGGGGCCUUUUGGGGUUUCUGUGCCGUAGCUAACGCAUUAAGCGCCCCGCCUGGGGAGUACGGCCGCAAGGCUAAAACUCAAAGGAAUUGACGGGGGCCCGCACAAGCGGCGGAGCAUGUGGAUUAAUUCGAUGCAACGCGAAGAACCUUACCUGGGCUUGACAUACACCGGAUCGCUGCAGAGAUGUAGUUUCCCUUGUGGCUGGUGUACAGGUGAUGCAUAGGUGUCGUCAGCUCGUG